GACGAACGCUGGCGGCGUGCUUAACACAUGCAAGUCGAACGGAAAGGCCCUGCUUUUGUGGGGUGCUCGAGUGGCGAAAGGGUGAGUAACACGUGAGUAACCUGCCCUUGACUUUGGGAUAACUUCAGGAAACUGGGGCUAAUACCGGAUAGGAGCUCCUGCUGCAUGGUGGGGGUUGGAAAGUUUCGGCGGUUGGGGAUGGACUCGCGGCUUAUCAGCUUGUUGGUGGGGUAGUGGCUUACCAAGGCGUUGACGGGUAGCCGGCCUGGGAGGGUGACCGGCCACAUUGGGACUGAGAUACGGCCCAGACUCCUACGGGAGGCAGCAGUGGGGAAUAUUGCGCAAUGGGCGGAAGCCUGAUGCAGCAACGCCGCGUGCGGGAUGACGGCCUUCGGGUUGUAAACCGCUUUCGCCUGUGACGAAGCGUGAGUGACGGUAAUGGGUAAAGAAGCACCGGCUAACUACGCG
rnacentral:rRNA from 1 species